rnacentral:rRNA from 1 species
CCCUUAGAUGUUCUGGGCUGCACGCGUGCUACACUGAUAUUGCCAAUAUGUCUUUCUUAUCCGAAAUGGAUUGGGUAAUCAAGUAAUGAAAUUUCAUGCUUGGAAUCGGUAAUUGCAAUUUUAUCGUGAACGAGGAAUUCCUAGUAAGCACUAGUCAUCAGCUAAUGUUGAUUAUGUCCCUGCCCUUUGUACACACCGCCCGUCGCUACUACUGAUUGGGUGUUCAAGUGAGAUGCUUAGACCCUUGUUGCAUGGUUCAUUAUUGUGCUCCGAAAGGAAAAAGUUUCAAGCUUGAGUGUCUAGAGGAAGUAAAAGUCGUAACA